UGAUUUUCUUCCUCUGGUAUCCAGGACAGAAACAGCAUCAUCCUGAGGAAGGGAGAACACUGACAAGCGUGUACUGUGCACUUAAGGAGAAGAGGGCCCCACACUGAACCAGUGGCUGUCUCGUUUCUCCCACUCCAAAGUGAGCUGACAGAAUAGCCUGCACAAGAACAUGCUGUCUCCUCCUGGAGCUAGGAAGUCAGAAGAUGGGAUGCUGAUGAUUGCAGCAGAGCUGCAGCAGAAAGGGGUGUAGAAUACCAACCUGCAGUUCUCCCAGGACCACACUCCCUCAAAGCAGCAUCACAGCCCGGUGGGAAGACCUGUUCUGAAUCCAGGUUCUAAUCUGGGUCUUGACUCUAUAGUCUAGCCACUCACUGCUGGCUCUCUUUGGAAACCUCACUUGCGCUCCUAAGGUUACAG
rnacentral:lncRNA from 1 species